rnacentral:rRNA from 1 species
UACGUAGGGUCCGAGCGUUGUCCGGAAUUAUUGGGCGUAAAGAGCGUGUAGGCGGCCAGACAAGUCUGCUGUGAAAACUCGAGGCUCAACCUCGAGCUGUCGGCGGAAACUGUCUGGCUAGAGUCCGGAAGAGGAGAGUGGAAUUCCUGGUGUAGCGGUGAAAUGCGCAGAUAUCAGGAAGAACACCAAUGGCGAAGGCAGCUCUCUGGGACGGUACUGACGCUGAGACGCGAAAGCGUGGGGAGCGAACAGG